GGCUUUUAGGCUUUGAGAGUGAGGAUGAAGUACAGCUUGGCUGACCCAGUUCUUGGGAUGGGAGGAUUAAUGAACUCUCUAAACCAAACUUUUGGAGGAAAAGAACUUCAGAGGAGUUGGGAGGCAGAGGGAGAUUUUACUACAGAAGAGAAGAAAAUGAUGGGAUGAUGAUGAAAGCAGACAUGAGAUUUAUGCGCUUUGAUGAUGGAAGAAGGAGCCACAGACCAAGGAAUGCUAGUGGCCACUAGAAGCUGGAAAAGCCACCAAGUUUGUGGCUUAAAACCCCCUUAAGAUGAUUGAAGAGUGUCAUAGCUUCUGAAGAUGCAGUAAAGAAGUUGUGUUGUCCAGAAGGAUUGAGGCCCCUGCUCAGCAAUAUUCAAGCAAAAAGAAGUUCCUUUCCCAGUUCCCCAGCAUAAUCCAAC
rnacentral:lncRNA from 1 species